rnacentral:tRNA from 1 species
GUGGACGUAGCUCAGUUGGUUAGAGCGCCUGGUUGUGGCCCAGGAGGUCGCCGGUUCGAGUCCGGUCUUCCACCCCA